rnacentral:rRNA from 1 species
CCUUGUACACACCGCCCGUCACGCCACGAAAGUUUGUUGUACCAAAAAACGGUGAGCCAACCGCAAGGAGGCAGCCGGCUACGGUAUGAUCGAUGAUUGGGGCG